rnacentral:RNase_P_RNA from 1 species
CGCUUUCUGAUGAUAGAUUACGGCAAAGAGCGAAAGUCCGGGCUCCACCGGAAAAAAUGCCGGGUAAUAACCGGGCAAUAUUCGGUAAUUGCAUAAGUUAUUGUAUAAUCCGAGUAUUGACAGAUAGUGCCACAGAAAAUAUACCGUCUGCGGAAUUUAUUCCGCAGGUAAGGGUGAAAAGGCGGGGUAAGAGCCCACCAUAUUUCUGGAAACAGAAAUAGUAUGGAAAACCUCAUUUGGAGCAAGGCCGAACAGCAGCUUUCAUUUCCGGGAUUUAUGCUGCGGGUAGGUCGCUGAAGCUGCAGGGUAAUCUGCAGUUUGGAUAGAUGGUUAUCGCAGGGCUUUGCCUUGCGGACAGAACCCGGCUUAUUGUUCUUUCU